CAGCAGCCACGGUAAUACGUAGGUGGCAAGCGUUGUCCGGAAUUAUUGGGCGUAAAGGGCUCGCAGGCGGUUUCUUAAGUCUGAUGUGAAAGCCCCCGGCUCAACCGGGGAGGGUCAUUGGAAAAUGGGAAACUUGAGUGCAGAAGAGGAGAGUGGAAUUCCACGUGUAGCGGUGAAAUGCGUAGAGAUGUGGAGGAACACCAGUGGCGAAGGCGACUCUCUGGUCUGUAACUGACGCUGAGGAGCGAAAGCGUGGGGAGCGAACAGGAUUAGAUACCCCUGUAGUCCCUGUCUCUUAUAC
rnacentral:rRNA from 1 species